AUUUUGUCCAGCGUCUCUGCUGUCCCUCCAGUCUGCCUCAAGUGAGAACCAAUCUCCUGUGAGGUUGGUGGCUCCGGGAAGGUAUUCUGCUUGAAGCAUGACGUUGCUACGAAAGUAGAAGCUGUAGAUGUCUUUUGACACCUCGGAGAAAACACUAUUCAUAUAGUGCACAACAGACAUAUAGCACAUCCAGAGAAGUAUACAGCAAUC